rnacentral:lncRNA from 1 species
GCAGUUGAAGUUGGCGACGGAGCCCGGCUCCCGUAGGAGUCCGGGCGGAGUCCUCCUUGCGGUUGAAGUCGUGGGCGGAGCCCGACUCCUGUAGGAGUCCAGGCGGAGUCCUCCUGCAAUUAACGUCAGGUGCGAAGUCCGGCUCCCGUAGGAGUCCGGACGGAGCUUACCGGCAGUUGAAGUUGGCGACGGAGCCCGGCUCCCGUAGGAGUCCGGG